UACGUAGGGUGCAAGCGUUGUCCGGAAUUAUUGGGCGUAAAGAGCUCGUAGGCGGCUUGUCGCGUCGGCUGUGGAAACUCGGGGCUCAACCCCGAGCCUGCAGUCGAUACGGGCAGGCUAGAGUCCGGCAGGGGAGACUGGAAUUCCUGGUGUAGCGGUGAAAUGCGCAGAUAUCAGGAGGAACACCGGUGGCGAAGGCGGGUCUCUGGGCCGGAACUGACGCUAAGGAGCGAAAGCGUGGGGAGCGAACAGG
rnacentral:rRNA from 1 species